rnacentral:rRNA from 1 species
CCUACGGGAGGCAGCAGUAGAGAAUCUUCCACAAUGGGCGAAAGCCUGAUGGAGCAACGCCGCGUGGGUGAAGAAGGUCUUCGGAUCGUAAAACCCUGUUGUUAGAGAAGAAAGUGCGUGAGAGUAACUGUUCACGUUUCGACGGUAUCUAACCAGAAAGCCACGGCUAACUACGUGCCAGCAGCCGCGGUAAUACGUAGGUGGCAAGCGUUAUCCGGAUUUAUUGGGCGUAAAGGGAACGCAGGCGGUCUUUUAAGUCUGAUGUGAAAGGCGUCGGCUUAACCGGCGUAGUGCAUAGGAUACUGGGAGACUUGAGUGCAGAAGAGGGGAGUGGAACUCUAGGUGUAGCGGUGAAAUGCGUAGAUAUAGGGAAGAACACUAGUGGCGAAAGCGGGUCUCUGGUCUGUAACUGACGCUGAGGUUCGAAGGCGAGGGUAGCAAACAGGAUUAGAUACCCGUGUAGUC